rnacentral:rRNA from 1 species
UACGUAGGGUGCAAGCGUUGUCCGGAACUAUUGGGCGUAAAGAGCUCGUAGGCGGUCUGUCGCGUCGGCUGUGAAAUCCCGGAGCUCAACUCCGGGCCUGCAGUCGAUACGGGCAGACUGGAGUUCGGCAGGGGAGACUGGAAUUCCUGGUGUAGCGGUGAAAUGCGCAGAUAUCAGGAGGAACACCGGUGGCGAAGGCGGGUCUCUGGGCCGAUACUGACGCUGAGGAGCGAAAGCGUGGGGAGCGAACAGG